UAAUACGGAGGGUGCAAGCGUUACUCGGAAUCACUGGGCGUAAAGGGCGCGUAGGCGUCCCCUUAAGUCUCCCGUGAAAGCCCACAGCUUAACUGUGGAACUGCGGGGGAAANCUGGGGGGAUAGAGUGCGGAAGAGGUCGAUGGAAUUUCUGGUGUAGGGGUAAAAUCCGUAGAGAUCAGAAGGAAUACCGAUGGCGAAGGCGAUCGACUGGGACGUUACUGACGCUGAGGCGCGAAAGCGUGGGGAGCAAACAGGAUUAGAUACCCUGGUAGUCCACGCCCUAAACGAUGGAUACUAGUUGUCGGGGGUCUCUUCGGUAACGCAGCUAACGCAUUAAGUAUCCCGCCUGGGGAGUACGGCCGCAAGGUUA
rnacentral:rRNA from 1 species